rfam:Triticum aestivum genome assembly, contig: Triticum_aestivum_CS42_TGACv1_scaffold_404251_5BL
AAAAUACUCCCUCCAUCCGGAAAUACUUGUCAGAGAAAUGGAUGUAUCUAGACGUACUUUAGUUCUAGAUACAUCCAUUUUUCUUACAAGUACUUCCGGACGGAGGAAGUACAUU